rnacentral:rRNA from 1 species
GACGAACGCUCGCGGCGUGCUUAACACAUGCAAGUCGAACGGAAAGGCCCUGCUUUUGUGGGGUGCUCGAGUGGCGAACGGGCGAGUAACACGUGAGUAACCUGCCCUUGACUUUGGGAUAACUUCAGGAAACUGGGGCUAAUACCGGAUAGGAGCUCCUGCUGCAUGGUGGGGGUUGGAAAGUUUCGGCGGUUGGGGAUGGACUCGCGGCUUAUCAGCUUGUUGGUGGGGUAGUGGCUUACCAAGGCUUUGACGGGUAGCCGGCCUGAGAGGGUGACCGGCCACAUUGGGACUGAGAUACGGCGCAGACUCCUACGGGAGGCAGCAGUGGGGAAUAUUGCACAAUGGGCGGAAGCCUGAUGCAGCAACGCCGCGUGCGGGAUGACGGCCUUCGGGUUGUAAACCGCUUUCGCCUGUGACGAAGCGUGAGUGACGGUAAUGGGUAAAGAAGCACCGGCUAACUACGUG